rnacentral:lncRNA from 10 species
AUGAAAUCUGGAGAUUUUCUUGUACAUUUAGCUUUCUAUGAAAAAGACAUAAAUUGUUAACCCAUGAAUUCAUAUCACUUAAUAAAUUGACAGCCAGAAUGAUAUUUCUGAGGCAUUUUUACAAUAAGAACUCAUUGGUUAAAAAGUCAUGUACCUUAGGUGAGAUAAAAGUACUAAGUAAAGGACCUGGGAAGACUUGGUAAAGAAAUCGUUAGAAAAUAAAGGUGGAGCCAGGCGCAGUGGCUCAUGCCUGUAAUCCCAGCACUUUGGGAGGCCGAGGUGGGUGGAUCAUGGGGUCAAAAGAUCGAGACCAUCCUGGCCAACAUGGUGAAAUUCCGUCUCUACUAAAAAUACAAAAAAUUAGCCAGGCAUGGUGGCACCCGCGCCUGUAGUCCUAGCUACUUGGGAGGCUGAGGCAGGAGAAUCGCUUGAACCUGGGAGGCAGAGGUUGCAGUGAGCCGAGAUCGCGCCACUGCACACUCCAGCCUGGCGACAGAUUAAGACUCUGUCUGAAUGUACUCAGGACACUUUGACAAAGCUGGCCUGAGGCACAAGUGUGAAGCUGGUGCCCUGUUUCUUCCACAGUGUGUUCUUUUCCUCUUUCCUGGUAUCUGUCCUAACCCUGGUACUCUGUCCUGACCCGUAAACCUCUGUCUGUUCACCCUUUCUCCCUACUGUUCUCACGAUGCUGCUUCAUUUUUAUUAGGAAGAGGCUGUAUGAGAUGAGUAAAAAGGCUACUUAGUCAAUGAUGGGCCCCACAGGUCAUUUUAUUUAGGAGACCAUUUAUUCUGCUUUUCUUUUGGCUACUUUUGAAGGCUGAGAUUGUUACUGAAUAACAUGAGCUACUUGAAAUCAAUGAAAAUUGGCCUUUUCUAAAAGAGUAUUAAUCCAGGAAUUGACAUUAUUUCUCUAUAUGUUGAAAAACAGCUCCUUUUAAAAAAUACAGGCAUUGUUUGAUACUUUAUCAAUCUUGUGAGGUCUCACAAUCCUCCACUAAUGUGCUAGAGACAGCAUCUGGGUUUAUUUCUUCAGUAUCUUAACUUCCAAAACAAUAGUUUGGAUAGUGUUUCAAUGCUAAUGUGACAUGAGCAGACAUGUUGUAUGGGUUCACAAUAUUAAUUAGCAUUAACCAUAGUCAAGUAAGCUUCAAGUCCACGAAAACAGCAUGAAAUGUUGGUGUCCUGACCUCUUUUUGGCCAUGUGAGGACACAGAGAAAGCACCAUCUGUGAGAAACAGGGCCUCCACUAUAUACUGAACUUGCCACCACCUUGACCUGGGACUUCCCAGUUUCCAGAACUGUGAGAAAUAAAUUUUUUAUGAUUUACCCAGUCUAAGAUAUUUUGUGACAGCAGCAGGAAUGGACUAACAUACUGGGUCUAGCAAAGAGUUCUCAAGUGCACUGCUUCUCUCCCACCACUGCCUGUUCUCACUUUCUUUCGAAGACGUGAUUAAGUUUCCACAUUUGUUUGGUCCCUCAAAAGGCAAAGAUGAAGUACAGGAGAAAUACAUGGAUCACAGGCAAGAUCCAAAGCUGGCUGCAGUCUCUGAGGCCUGAGCCUCCCGUGAAGGCUCUUGCCCCUCCUUGUUCCAUACAUCUUUCUUCUUCAUAGCAAGACACUCCCAUUAAGCCCAAAAGCCCAGAGUGCAACUCAGAUAUACAAUAUAUUACCUGUUGCAUCACUUUCUUUGAUAUAGUUUGACUCUGUGUCCCCAACCAAAUCUCAUCUCAAAUUGUAAUCCCCAUAAUCCCCAUGUGUCGAAGGAAGGACUUGGUGGGAGGUGAUUGGAUCAUGAGGGUGGUUCCUCCCAUGCUGUCUUGUAAUAGUGAGAGAGUUCACACCAAGAUCUGACAGUUUUAUAAGCAUUCGACAGUUCCUUUUUCACAUGCUCUCUCUUGCCUGCUGCCAUGUAAGACAUGCCUCCUUAGCCUUCCGCCACAACUGUAAGUUUCCUGAGGCCUCCCCAGCCAUGUGGAACUGUGAGUCAAUUAAACCUCUUUGCUUUAUAAAUUACCCAGUCUCAGGGAAGUUCUUUGUAGCAGUGUGAGGGGUGAGCCACUGCGCCCGGCCCCCAGUGCUACUUUCUGUACCACCUUUUGGAUUUGUAUUAGCCCAUCCUCAGAAUCUUGGGUACCUUUUGCAUUUUCUUCCAAGUUCCCUUGGUGGAAAAACAAAAACAAUCUCUGUACCAUAUUUCAGAGCCACAUUCUAUAGAAAAUCAUAUUUUCAAAAGAUGGCAGCGACAAUAUCUCUCACCCUUAAUGUUCUUUUCCAAUAUGACUUUACCACACCCCUUAUUAAGAACAGGAGCCUAUUUCUUCUUCUCUUGGAUUUGGAUUGGCCCAAGCAACAUGCUUCUUCAUUGCAAUAUUGAUUUAACUCCGGACAAAAAAGUACUCCUUUUCGUGAGUUUUGUUUGCCUGAGUCUCUCUGAACUUGGGCAGGUUUCACUUGGCAAAUUACAGUGGUGCAGUGGGAGGCAGAGGUUGGACAUGAGGGAAUGGAAAUUUGCAAUUAGACAGGCAUGCUUAGGGUAGUUAAUUUUAUGAAAUGGAGGCAAAAGUAAAAGCAUAAUUUGGUGGAUCAACGGAAAGCCAAGUUUGAUGGUUUUACGUUAAAAAGUGAUAAGAUGUCUGUUUUUGUCCAUCAAGGCUCCAUUUUCAGCUCAGACAACAAUAAAGCAGUUGCUAGCUCUACAAAAGAGGGCAAAAUAGAACCCGUGUCCUAACUGGAGAACAUGGGGUGGCCAUGUGCGGAAAGCUGCAUGUAACCUGUGGCUAGAGAAUAGUGUCUGGCAUCAAGCAAGUACAACAAGUAGGCAAAAGGGAUAAAAAGUUACAGGAUGAACCAUUAUUAGUGGGGUAUUUUGAAGGCAAAAUUUCCUUGUACUGAAGAUACUCAAUGUACCAAAAAAGGCAACUUAUUUUUAAAGAAGAUAGUAAUAAAGGUCCCGAAUGAAGGAACUACAACCACUGUAGGCAAGUGUGGAACAAGCACAGUGUGGAUAAGGGUCUCUACUAGUUUCUUCAGUGGAACUGGCCCUUUAAUAAAGCAAUGCAACGGGGUGGUCUAUGCAUGUGUUGUCCAAUAGCCACCAGCCACCUGUGGCUAUUUAAAUUUAAAUUAAUUAAAAUGAGAUGAAAUAAAAUAUUCUAUUCCUCAAGCAUAUUUACCACAUUUUAAGGGCUCAAUUACUACACGUGCCCAGGGCCUAGCAUACUGGGCAGCACAGACAAAUCAGUUCCAUUAUUGUAGAAAGUUCUAUUAGACAGCACUGAAAGAGCAUUGUCUUGGGAGCCUGGGAGUGAAUCAUGAGUCUGCAACUUAGUAAUGGAGUGGCCACUGUUUCCUCAUAUUUAAAAUAGGGCUAGGUGAUAUAGUACCUACCUCCUGGAGCUAUUAUGAGGAUUAAAUAAAUGAGUUAUUUUUAAAUAAGAUGAACAUUGUGGCAUUAAGAUGUAGUGGAAAAUACAUAGGAUUUGGAGUCAGAUAUACUUGAUUACAAAUUGUAAUACUCAUACUCACAAAUUGUGUGAAGUUAUGACUCUCAAAUCCUGUUACUUUAAUAAAAUCUUUUUGAAAGUUAAAUAAAAUAAUAUAUCAAAAAAAAAAAAAGAAACUGAGCAAAGGGGGUUUUGAGAAGACUAAGCUGUACUGAUUCCCUCUGGACCAGUGGACUAAGCUUGUCCUUCGAUCCCCUGAUCUGGUUUAUGCAGCCACUGUAUAUGCCUUCCAGGCCCCUGCGGAAACCUGGAUACUGGUAGGUUAUGUCUCUAUAGAUGGGGCCUGGAUGUGUUGCUUAGGCUGUGUGAAACACCUGGUCUUAAGCGAUCCUCUCACCCUGGCCUCCCAAAGCAUUGGGAUUACAGGGAGAAAAGAAUGGGAACUGUGAGGAAAAGAAUGACAUGAACAAUGGGAAGACCAAGGUCCCAGCACAAGUAGUAGAUGCUGAGGAAAGAAGAAGUAUGUUGUGGAGUAAGUGAGUGGGCCUGAGUUGAGAAGAUCCUGGCCUUGGAUUUUAAAACUGUCAG